GCUACACAUGCAGUCGACGCUGAGCUGUGCUGCACGGUGAUGAGUGCGACGGUGAGUACACGUGAGUAACUGCCCUGACUUCGGGAUAAGCCCGGGAAACUGGGUCUAAUACCGGAUACGACUGCCGGACGCAUGUCUGGUGGUGGAAAGUUUUUCGGUUGGGGAUGGGCUCGCGGCCUAUCAGUUUGUUGGUGAGGUAAUGGCUCACCAAGACGACGACGGGUAGCCGGCUGAGAGGGCGACCGGCCACACUGGGACUGAGACACGGCCCAGACUCCUACGGGAGGCAGCAGUGGGGAAUAUUGCACAAUGGGGGAAACCCUGAUGCAGCGACGCAGCGUGCGGGAUGACGGCCUUCGGGUUGUAAACCGCUUUCAGCAGGGAAGAAGCGCAAGUGACGGUACCUGCAGAAGAAGUACCGGCUAACUACGUGCCAGCAGCCGCGGUAAUACGUAGGGUACGAGCGUUGUCCGGAAUUAUUGGGCGUAAAGAGCUCGUAGGUGGUUGGUCACGUCUGCUGUGGAAACGCAACGCUUAACGUUGCGCGUGCAGUGGGUACGGGCUGACUAGAGUGCAGUAGGGGAGUCUGGAAUUCCUGGUGUAGCGGUGAAAUGCGCAGAUAUCAGGAGGAACACCGGUGGCGAAGGCGGGACUCUGGGCUGUAACUGACACUGAGGAGCGAAAGCAUGGGGAGCGAACAGGAUUAGAUACCCUGGUAGUCCAUGCCGUAAACGUUGGGCACUAGGUGUGGGGGGCAUUCCACGUUCUCCGCGCCGUAGCUAACGCAUUAAGUGCCCCGCCUGGGGAGUACGGUCGCAAGGCUAAAACUCAAAGGAAUUGACGGGGGCCCGCACAAGCGGCGGAGCAUGCGGAUUAAUUCGAUGCAACGCGAAGAACCUUACCAAGGCUUGACAUACACCGGACCGUCCUGGAAACAGGUCCUCUUCUUUGAAGCUGGUGUACAGGUGGUGCAUG
rnacentral:rRNA from 1 species